GACGAACGCUGGCGGCGUGCCUAAUACAUGCAAGUUGAGCGCUGAAGGUUGGUACUUGUACCAACUGGAUGAGCAGCGAACGGGCGAGUAACGCGUGGGGAAUCUGCCUUUGAGCGGGGGACAACAUUUGGAAACGAAUGCUAAUACCGCAUAAAAACUUUAAACACAAGUUUUAAGUUUGAAAGAUGCAAUUGCAUCACUCAAAGAUGAUCCCGCGUUGUAUUAGCUAGUUGGUGAGGUAAAGGCUCACCAAGGCGAUGAUACAUAGCCGACCUGAGAGGGUGAUCGGCCACAUUGGGACUGAGACACGGCCCAAACUCCUACGGGAGGCAGCAGUAGGGAAUCUUCGGCAAUGGACGAAAGUCUGACCGAGCAACGCCGAGUGAGUGAAGAAGGUUUUCGGAUCGUAAAACUCUGUUGGUAGAGAAGAACGUUGGUGAGAGUGGAAAGCUCAUCAAGUGACGGUAACUACCCAGAAAGGGACGGCUAACUACGUG
rnacentral:rRNA from 1 species